GGGUUGUGAGGUUAAGCGACUAAGCGUACACGGUGGAUGCCCUGGCAGUCAGAGGCGAUGAAGGACGUGCUAAUCUGCGAUAAGCGCCGGUAAGGUGAUAUGAACCGUUAUAACCGGCGAUUUCCGAAUGGGGAAACCCAGUGUGACUCGUCACACUAUCAUUAACUGAAUCCAUAGGUUAAUGAGGCGAACCGGGGGAACUGAAACAUCUAAGUACCCCGAGGAAAAGAAAUCAACCGAGAUUCCCCCAGUAGCGGCGAGCGAACGGGGAGGAGCCCAGAGCCUGAAUCAGCAUGUGUGUUAGUGGAAGCGUCUGGAAAGGCGCGCGAUACAGGGUGACAGCCCCGUACACAAAAGCGCAUGUGCUGUGAGCUCGAUGAGUAGGGCGGGACACGUGGUAUCCUGUCUGAAUAUGGGGGGACCAUCCUCCAAGGCUAAAUACUCCUGACUGACCGAUAGUGAACCAGUACCGUGAGGGAAAGGCGAAAAGAACCCCGGCGAGGGGAGUGAAAAAGAACCUGAAACCGUGUACGUACAAGCAGUGGGAGCCCCACCACCAAAGCAUUCUCUGGUGUUGAAGGCCCUGCAAAGCAGCAUCGCGGUGGCGGAGCGUCGUUUGCGACGCCCAACACACAAAACAAGCGGUGAGUGCUUUGGGGUGGGGUGACUGCGUACCUUUUGUAUAAUGGGUCAGCGACUUAUAUUCUGUAGCAAGGUUAACCGAAUAGGGGAGCCGGAGGGAAACCGAGUCUUAA
rnacentral:rRNA from 1 species